rnacentral:rRNA from 1 species
UGGGGAAUAUUGGACAAUGGGCGAAAGCCUGAUCCAGCCAUGCCGCGUGUGUGAAGAAGGCCUUAUGGUUGUAAAGCACUUUAAGCGAGGAGGAGGCUACUUUAGUUAAUACCUAGAGAUAGUGGACGUUACCGACAGAAUAAGCACCGGCUAACUCUGUGCCAGCAGCCGCGGUAAUACAGAGGGUGCAAGCGUUAAUCGGAAUUACUGGGCGUAAAGCGCGCGUAGGUGGUUCGUUAAGUUGAAUGUGAAAGCCCCGGGCUCAACCUGGGAACUGCAUCCAAAACUGGCGAGCUAGAGUAGGGCAGAGGGUGGUGGAAUUUCCUGUGUAGCGGUGAAAUGCGUAGAUAUAGGAAGGAACACCAGUGGCGAAGGCGACCACCUGGGCUCAUACUGACACUGAGGUGCGAAAGCGUGGGGAGCAAACAGG